GUGGGGAAUUUUGGACAAUGGGCGAAAGCCUGAUCCAGCAAUGCCGCGUGUGUGAAGAAGGCCUUCGGGUUGUAAAGCACUUUUGUCCGGAAAGAAAUCCUUUGGGUUAAUACCUCGGAGGGAUGACGGUACCGGAAGAAUAAGGACCGGCUAACUACGUGCCAGCAGCCGCGGUAAUACGUAGGGUCCGAGCGUUAAUCGGAAUUACUGGGCGUAAAGCGUGCGCAGGCGGUUUUGUAAGACAGAUGUGAAAUCCCCGGGCUUAACCUGGGAAUUGCAUUUGUGACUGCAAGGCUAGAGUGUGUCAGAGGGGGGUAGAAUUCCACGUGUAGCAGUGAAAUGCGUAGAGAUGUGGAGGAAUACCGAUGGCGAAGGCAGCCCCCUGGGAUAACACUGACGCUCAUGCACGAAAGCGUGGGGAGCAAACAGGAUUAGAAACCCUGGUAGUCC
rnacentral:rRNA from 1 species